GACGAACGCUGGCGGCGUGCCUAAUACAUGCAAGUUGAGCGAUGAAGAUUGGUGCUUGCACCAAUUUGAAGAGCAGCGAGCGGGUGAGUAACGCGUGGGGAAUCUGCCUUUGAGCGGGGGACAACAUUUGGAAACGAAUGCUAAUACCGCAUAACAACUUUAAACAUAAGUUUUAAGUUUGAAAGAUGCAAUUGCAUCACUCAAAGAUGAUCCCGCGUUGUAUUAGCUAGUUGGUGAGGUAAAGGCUCACCAAGGCGAUGAUACAUAGCCGACCUGAGAGGGUGCUCGGCCACAUUGGGACUGAGACACGGCCCAAACUCCUACGGGAGGCAGCAGUAGGGAAUCUUCGGUAAUGGACGAAAGUCUGACCGAGCAACGCCGCGUGAGUGAAGAAGGUUUUCGGAUCGUAAAACUCUGUUGGUAGAGAAGAACGUUGGUGAGAGUGGAAAGCUCAUCAAGUGACGGUAACUACCCAGAAAGGGACGGCUAACUACGUG
rnacentral:rRNA from 1 species